GAUGAACGCUGGCGGCGUGCCUAAUACAUGCAAGUCGAGCGAACAGACGAGGAGCUUGCUCCUCUGACGUUAGCGGCGGACGGGUGCGUCACACGUGGAUAACCUACCUAUAAGACUGGGAUAACUUCGGGAAACCGGAGCUAACACCGGAUAAUAUAUUGAACCGCAUGGUUCAUUAGUGAAAGACGGUUUUGCUGUCACUUAUAGAUGGAUCCGCGCCGCAUUAGCUAGUUGGUAAGGUAACGGCUUACCAAGGCGACGAUGCGUAGCCGACCUGAGAGGGUGAUCGGCCACACUGGCACUGAGACACGGUCCAGACUCCUACGGGAGGCAGCAGUAGGGAAUCUUCCGCAAUGGGCGAAAGCCUGACGGAGCAACGCCGCGUGAGUGAUGAAGGUCUUCGGAUCGUAAAACUCUGUUAUUAGGGAAGAACAAAUGUGUAAGUAACUAUGCACGUCUUGACGGUACCUAAUCAGAAAGCCACGGCUAACUACGUG
rnacentral:rRNA from 1 species